rnacentral:tRNA from 1 species
CGGGGUGUUGUGUAACGGCUAGCACGAACGCUUUGGGAGCGUUUAGUCUGGGUUCGAAUCCCAGCACCCCGA